rnacentral:rRNA from 1 species
GAUGAACGCUGGCGGCGUGCCUAAUACAUGCAAGUCGAGCGAACAGACGAGGAGCUUGCUCCUCUGACGUUAGCGGCGGACGGGUGAGUAACACGUGGAUAACCCACCUAUAAGACUGGGAUAACCUCGGGAAACCGGAGCUAAUACCGGAUAAUAUCUUGAACCGCAUGGUUCAAUAGUGAAAGACGGUUUUGCUGUCACGUAUAGAUGGAUCCGCGCCGCAUUAGCUAGUUGGGAAGUUAACGGCUUACCAAGGCAACGAUGCGUAGCCGACCUGAGAGGGUGUUCCGCCACACUGGAGGUUACACGCUCACCAGACUCCUAAGGGAGGCAGCAGUACGGACUUUGGCGCCAUGGUCGAGAGCCUGACGGAGCAACGCGGCGUGGGAGCUGAUGGUCUUCCGAUCGUAAAACUUGGCUGUUGGGGACCAACAAAUGUGUAAUGAACCACGCCCGUAUUGACGGUACCUGCUCAGAAAGCAACGGCUAACUACGUG